AUGAUCUUCCUCUGUUUUUCCAGAGACUCGAGGCUUAAAGCAUUUUAAAUAAUACAAAUAUCACCCACUACCCAGUGUCAAGGCUCAUUUCCCCCUGCUCACAGGGAUUGGGCUCAAUAAUGUUCACCCUAAAUAAUGUCCAGUGCUCUAGGACGGCCAUUCACAGGAUCCCUUUCUGAGUCUCUACAAUAGAUGACGAAAAGUAUGAUGAGUGGUGCAGGACCUGAAGAGCUGGGGAAAUAGCCAGGAUUCUUCUAAUGUUGUUUUCACUCUGAUCUCAUCAUUUCUCAAGUUAAUAAGAGAAGAGAGCUACCCUUUGGAGUUGGAAUUAAGGAAACGAAGAGAGCUCCCAGUGUUCCCUGGUAAACUUCCCUCUUCCUCCAGAUGCAGACUGAAUUCGCUGGAAUGAUAACAGCAUAGCUAAAGGGUUUGCAACUCAAUUACCCAUCAGAAGAAAGUAAUAUCAACCAAAUUCAGAUCAAGCCAAUUAUUUCUGAUCCUUUCUAGAGGAAACUUACUCAAAGGUAAGAAAACAUUUAUGUGUGAUUUAAGGGAAAAAAAGUAUAUUUUUCCAAGUGUUAAGACAGUGUUCUUCAGCUCCUGACCCGUUUUCACC
rnacentral:lncRNA from 1 species